CCUACGGGAGGCAGCAGUGAGGAAUAUUGGUCAAUGGGCUUACGCCUGAACCAGCCAAGUCGCGUGAGGGAAGACUGCCCUAUGGGUUGUAAACCUCUUUUGUCAGGGAGCAAUUGGCGCUACGUGUAGCGUUAUCGAGAGUACCUGAAGAAAAAGCAUCGGCUAACUCCGUGCCAGCAGCCGCGGUAAUACGGAGGAUGCGAGCGUUAUCCGGAUUUAUUGGGUUUAAAGGGUGCGUAGGCGGAAUGCCAAGUCAGCGGUAAAAUCGCGGGGCUCAACCUCGCUCCGCCGUUGAAACUGGCGGUCUUGAGUGGGCGAGAAGUAUGCGGAAUGCGUGGUGUAGCGGUGAAAUGCAUAGAUAUCACGCAGAACUCCGAUUGCGAAGGCAGCAUACCGGCGCCCAACUGACGCUGAAGCACGAAAGCGUGGGUAUCGAACAGGAUUUGAUACCCCGGUAGUC
rnacentral:rRNA from 1 species